GUCAUUGCAAGAGGAGUCCGAAUCCCAGCGUUGCUGGACUGGAGAGAGGCUGGAACCUGCAGCAGCGGGCCGGGAUGCCGCUGAGCUGCCGAAGUGGAAGUUUCGCAGGCAGCAGCAGCUCGGCGUCCUCCACGGUCUGGUCCCUCCAGCGCCGAGGUCUCGCCUAAUGCUACAUAAAUACCUGCGUCCACGAUUCGCCCGGGGCGCGCCGCGGCGCAAGCACGGGAGGGAGGGAGGAGAACGUUUGCAGAGCGGCGGGGAUGGCAGCGGCGGCGGCGGCAGCUCCUUACCCAUCAGCAUCUCUGGGGGCCCGCGCGAGGGCCCGCCAACGGACCGCGUCUGCCGCUUGGUUCCACAGCCCAGGGACGACAACUGGCUUCUCAGCGGGUGGACCCAGGCAUCCGAGACUCGCGCGUGGCCGCCACCCCCUCCUCCGAGACGGCUGGCCGCAGGCAGGCAGCGCGUCCCCGCCUUCCCCAGGCAACGCAGAGGCGACCUGCCCUAAGAGCCACCUCCGACCUACCCCGGCUCCCAGCCCCGCGCUCCGGCCCCAGGCGAGCACGUCCCUCCCUUGGGGCCCGGGGCCGACGCUGCCCAGCGCGGGCACCCGCGCGGCGACCGCAGAUAACCCUAGCGCUCUCAGCCCGCUCCAGGCCACGGAGACCGGGACGCGAGCCCUGGGCUCCCCCGGCCCCCCGAGGCCAUCGGGGCGCGCGUUCACACUCCCACACUACACAUCUCCAGGUCCACCCUGUCCCACACAUCAACAACCCCUCCCCAACGACACCACCUCCUGGCCGCUUCGCCGUCCCCGUGAGCUCUCCUUUCCGCGUCCCCCCACAACACGCUGGCACCCACAAGGUGUCAAGGGAAGUGUGCGUGUGUGUGUCGGGGUGGGGUGGGUCACAAUAAGGUCUGUGCGGGUUCCCUCCCGACGGUUUUCGAGCUCAUCUACCUCGAAAGUUACUUGGGAUUGAGUAAAGAGACCCAGUCCCCAAAUGCGAGAUCAGAGGACGCGAGGGGCAGAAAACCCCAACCUGGCUUCUCGCUGCACAGAGGCGCGCACCUCCCCAAAGGACAGUGCGCGCGGCCGCCCCUGGGGGCCAGCCCUCCGUCGCCUCCAGGUCUCCUGCCCGGCCGGGGCCCUGGGCCGCUCAGGGGAACGUGGCCUGGAGAGGGGCGCGCGCCGCCGGGCCCAGCAGGGGGGCUGCUCCGGCCAGGGGUCACACAAGCCUCCAGCACCUCCGAACACCGUGACAGUGGCCCCAGGCAGCCCCGGUGCAUACACACCCGGGGGCAGGAAGUUUUUUCCCCCCCUUUUUUUCCCCCUGGAGCAGCGCAGGCGCAAGGGCUCCUGCAGCCUGCGAGUCCAGACGCGGGAGGCUCCUGUCGCCGCCGCCGCCGCCGAAGCCGAGCCCAGGGUUCCGGGUUCCGGCCCCGCUCCCACGCCCGGCCCGGCCCGGCCCCACGCGGCGGCCAGGACCUGGGUCUCCCUCCGGCGCCGCAUCCGAGGCGCUCCAGCCCGGCCCGGCUCUUACCUCCGGCGCGCGGCUCCGGCCCCGGCCCGACGCGCAGAGAGCCCGGGGUCGCGGGUGGGCGCAGGAGGGCUGAUGGAGAGCGGACAGCGCCGGCGGGUAGCGGUGGCUGGGGCCGCUCGGGUCCUGGCCGGAGGAAACGGAUCCAGGUCCUCCUCCUCGCGUUCCUGCUCUCCGCCUUCUCCCCUCGUUCCUCCUCCUCCUCCGCCGCCGCCGCCUCCCGGCAGCCCAGGGAGGAUGCCCGGGAGAGGGAAGUCGGUCCUCCUGCCUGUCAGCCUGUGCGGCUAUGAGCGGUGCGGCGCGGCUCUCAUCGAGGCGGCGGCGGCGGCGGCGGCUCCGGCAGCAUCGCCCCCGCCCUCUCCCCGCAGCCGCGGCGGCCGCGGGGCUGGGGCUGGCUCCGGGCUCGCGGCUCGGGCUCCGGGCGGGGGCUGCGCUCAAGCGCGGCGACCGCCGGGGCUGCGGACGGGCGCUGCGGAGCCGGGGCCGGGGCUGGAGCUGCGGCGAGAUCCGCGGUGGCGGGGACGGCGGCGGCGGCGCGGGGGCUGGCGCGGCCGCGGCGCGGGGACCAUGCUCCCUUCUGGCUCGCUCCGCUCCGGGUACCGUCUGCUUUAGCUGCGAGGGAGGCGGGCUUCGGCGCGCAGCCAGGGGCGGGCGGAGCCAAUCACGGGCGCCCGAGUGGGCGGGGGUGGCGGGUGGGGGAGGCGGGGCCCUCUGGCCCGGCCCGGCCAGGCCGGGCCCCGUGCGCAGUUUCCCCGGCCCGAGGGAUUCCCGGCUGCCGCGCGCCGGGUCCGAGGUUGGAGUGCUCGCGGGUGUGUCCGUCGGUCCGUCCGUCCGCCGCCCCCGCCCCCCGCGGUGGCCCCCGGCUCGCCUGGCUCCGCGGCCGCGCCCGGCAGACGCACGGCGCGUGGCACGGGCUGCUCCGCCGUGGCCUCCUGGCCUUGCUGGCCCAGGGUUGGGGGCCCGGGACUGAGGCGAGCUCCCCGUCUGCUCUCAACACCUGAGGAAACUGGCGGAAAAGUUUGAGAAGGAAAAAGUCCAAUCGUCUUUCAGCUUCCGCCCUCUUUAUGACACUCCAGCCUUGGAAAGGAGCAGGAAUUGUCCACACCUCUGAAGGACCAGGGAGAGCCCUGCAAAGUGUCCACCAGCCUUCUGAGUCAGCCCUGCCUCUCCUGGGGCGCGCGACUUUUCUGUUCAUACUGACCCUUAGGAAUCCAGGAAGCCUUCUCUGUUUAACAGCCUGACCAGCCUUUGAUGUCUAUACCGACUACUCACCCCCACCACAGCUCGCUCUCUCUCACACUGUCUACACUGACUUCUCAGUCCCACCACCUCUCGGUCUACACAUGCUGUCUACACAGACCCUAACUUCUAACCCUAAUAGAAGAGAUUUGGCCAGAGGCGUGUGGGACCCCCAAUGAGGGCUUUUCCAUUAUGCUAGAAUAUUUCACUCUGGGCACAGUCUUCUCCACCCCGACCGCUCUCCUAAUCUGGUUUUUAUUCCCCGACCUCUCCCUCCUCCCCUACAUCCCCUUUACCUGGUUUUGAGUUUCAGAGGAAAUAUCUGUACCUGCCCUCCUCCUCCACCCCUGUCUGAAUGUAAAGGCCUGAGGGCCCAAUCCUCAUCCUCCACCCUCCCUCCGCUCCCCCGGGUAAAGGCCUGAGGCCUGAGGCCUUGCUAGAAAUUGGAGUUGGGGUGCUGUAGGUAGUGUGGGGAGCUGGCUGUGGGGGCCCAGCUGGGAGGAGCUGGCCUGGGGAGGGCUUUGCCAGUCCUUGCCUCCAUCUACCAGGGCCAAGGAGGACUGAGCCGGUAAAUAUUUUCUUCUCAGCUCCCCCCCUGUGAUGUCUGAUCCAGGCCUCUGCUCUCCUUGGCUGUAAACUCAGCGCACGGAUUGUGUCUUCUUUAAUAUUUUGUAGGAAGCAGAGUACAGUGUCGUGGCUGAUAAAUAAUAAAUAAUAAUAAUCUACUGAGGGUAGCAGGAGCACUGUCAGAAAUGGAAUGAGGACGCCGGGGAAAUGGCCCACUAGUGUCAGAAUAACUGCAUUUCCUGGAAAAAACAUCCAACAGAGUUUGUGUGUGUGAAGCCCGGGACUCAAGGGAGGGGACAGAGCGGAGCACUUCAGGGAGGAAGCCACCCUUCAUGAGGACGACAGCCAGGAAAACUGGCGUGACCUUAAGAGAGGGUGACAGAGGUGCCGAAAAGGGGAGCAGGAGUGGGGGGGAGGGGGAGAAAAGCUCCCCAAGGGUCCUCAGACAACACCUGAAGGUGAUCGAUAGCUUUGGUUUGAGUACUAUGUCCUUCAAAUGGUAUAUGAAAAGUGAUAGAAGAGUACUAGAUAGCAAAAUGGAAAAAAGAGGGAUUUCUUGGGAUUUCAAAUUGAUACACAGGUCAACCCAAUGCAAAAAGAAGGAGAACAAAGCCACAGGCGUGUGUCUGUUCAUCCACGCUGUAGGAAGCUGUCCUCUGAGAUAAUCUCCAUGGAUGCACUGACUGUGAACAUGCAGAAGUCCACCCAGCCGUAUUCUGGAGUAGCGCCCUAUGUGACAGCUGUAGGCACUACAGAAAUGUGGCCAAGGUUUGCAGGGUCUGGGAUAGGUUAAGAUCUGGCAAUGUGAGGCACUCACAGUGUCUUACAGAUGAUUUUGAAUGAUCCUCAGUUGAAAGAAGAAAAUAGGAACUCCAAGAAUCCUUAUUCAGCUACCUCUCCAGAUGAAGGAGAAAGGAUGCUCCCAAUUUCCCUGCUGGCAGCAUCAGAAAAGAGAGCUGUGCUGAGGUCUUAUCCAGAGGAGGACCUACUCGGGCCAUGGUGGUGCGAAGGGCGCUGGUUCUGGGGCACCGCAAACUCUUCAGGGCUGAAGUUUGGUAACAGCUCACCAGGGGAGCCAGCUUGUCAGGGAGAAUGAGAAAAGCUGUGUGAAUUAGACUCCCAGUGGGCUUGUCUACCCUGUCCUCACCCAUCCUCGUUUUAUCCAAGGCUUCCUCGUCAUUGAUGCUCUGCCCUGCUGGGAGCUGUUUAGUGUGGACACAGCCAUUUAUGAAGGGUCUGCGCUGGUCUGCAUAUGAGUUCCAUUUCAGAGUGCUGUUGUUCACAUGAUCUGUCCCAGCGCAUCUAGUGUCUUGGCAACAUAAACUGGAUUUGCAUUGUGUCAGGGGUCUCCUCUCUCUCUCUCUCUACGUAGAUCUUGCUGGUGUCUGGGAUCUUUUUUGGGUCAUUCUUUGCUCUACUCUGUGGCCCAUGGGAUGGGCCCCAUGACUGGCAUGGAUCUCUCUGUGUGGUUCAUGGGACUCGUGUGUUGUGCCCAGAAACCUCUUACACCAUGGUCAAAGAUUUCUCCAUGAAACACAGGAUUGACUUGGUGGUGUGUUCUCCAAAAGCCAACCCUCCCUGUCCUGAGCCCCAAUCUGGGCACUGGGAUCAGGACUAAUGUGUACACUCCAAGCAGAUGGGUAGUGAAGGAGCGGACUCAUAGUGCAUAGGGAAGUGGACUGGAACACUCCAGGACAUCCAUUCCCCGCUCAGAUCAUAGACCAUUAUCUGUGCAGUCAAUCAGACAAGGACUUGUACUGGAAAGGCCACCAUCACCCAAGGAGGAACCAGAGGAAGUCACAUCAGGAACACCUGGGGUGCCACAUAAACCCACAGUGGCCAAGGUGGACUUCUGUCCUUGUCUGUGUUUAUGAUAAUAGCCACAACAAAAGGACCUUUACCCAGUGGCUACUAUAUGUCAGGCACUGUACCAAGAACUCUACCCAUGAUAUCUUGUUAAUCCUCACAGCAACCUGUGGAAUUGGUGUUAUCAGCCCCCAAAACUGAGUUCCAGAGAGGGUAGAUGAGAACCUGCAAUCACACAGUAAGUGACAGUGCUGGAAUUUCAGCCUGAUUGUCCCAAAGCCUCUGUUCUUUUUACCCCACCAAACACACAAAUGCAGUUUCUUUUGUCAUUAGCCCAGUGCUUUUCCCUUGGAGUAGAUACAGUAGAUGCUGAUUUUUGCCUUCAUCAGCAAAAGUCUUUACCCCAGACACAUAACUGGAGAUCAGUCAUAGAACAGAGAGCACUAAUGUAGAAGGGCACAGGUCCCUUUGAUUACUGAACACUCAGGUCACUCGGAAGAGUGGAAGCCUCAUCAGAAACCUUCGGGUUUGACAGGACAUCUGUUUCCAGGAGCACGGUGGGUGUAAACAGAGCAGCUGCCAGCCUCUGUCCUGGUUGGGGUUUUGUGUUUGCUGGUUUUUCUUUUUUUUUUUUUUUAAACACAUUAUACUCUAUUAAAACCACCCCUAUUUGGCAUCAAAAGCAUUAAUAAAUCCCACAUAAGGCACAGUCCCUCCAGUGGUUAAUCAAUCCAUAAAAAUCUAUUUAGCACCUACUGUGUGUCCAGCAUUUCAAUCCCAUGACGUUGAUUAAAGCAGGAAGUAAGGAGUCACAGCUGCCAAAUUUUCACCAUGGCCACCGUGCUCUGUGAUGUGUCACAAAGGCAUUUGCCAAUCAUGCAAUCAACCAUUUACUGAGAACCUGCUUUGUUGCUCAACUCUGUGCUGGCGACUCUCAGGAAGACAGGGAAGGGCUACCUGGUUUCUGCCUGAGCAGCAAGUGAUGAAGGAGAGUGAGCGUAUGAGAGAGUAAGAGAGUGAGCCCAAUCGUGGACUGACCACACAAUUGACCCUGGUUUACUGUGAGAAAGGACACAGACUGUGAACACCAGGAGCUUGACUACAUUUCCCAGCGUCCUUUGGAGUGAGACUACAUCUCCCAGCAUCCUGGCAGUUAGACAAUUUUCUAGUCUCCUUUGCAGGGAUCUUGGAAGCCCCAUGUUGAAGGUGGCAGAGCAACAAAAAUUGAGGAAACCCUGAAUCCCUGAAUUACUAUUUGGAGAUGACCACCCACUAAUUCGGAACACUCAUUAUUGGGCUUUAGGAGAAUGAGAAGUUCUAUCAUGUUUGAGACUCCGUACAUCUUUGGAUUUGUUUUAACAGCUAGUUUUACCCUGGCUAACAUGGCAAUUGACAGCCUCUGAGAGGAGAUUUGGAGAAUCUGCUUUUUUAACAAGUACUCCAGGGGAGUUUGAGAAUCACUGCUGAAAGCCAAGGGGAGCCAGCCACCCAAGGAUUUAACGCUGACCAAGGAACACCACGCUAUUUGCAUUUUAGAAUGACAGCAAGGGAGCAGAACUCUGCCCCCUUCUUGUCUGCCAAGGAGAACAAUCUACUGACUCAAAAGAAAAAGAAAACUUUGGUAAGAGAAAAUUGAAGCUCUAGAUGAGUGAAAAGAUUCUAACAGCACCAAGCUGCCGUAAAUGAGCUCAAGUCUCCUGGCCAGGACAAAUUACACUCCAGGGAGUAGAGAGAACUCGCCUCUGAAGCUGUAAAGCCUCUGCUGAUAAUCUUUACAGAACAUGGAGACUGUGAAAGAAAUUGGAACGCUAGAAAUGGCAAAAUAUAGCUCUGAUUAGUAAAGAGGGGGAAAGCUUCUGCAAACUACAAAAGUGGGGCUAUCCUAUCCAUCCUCAUUAAAUUCCCUGAUCAGACUACUUAAGGCUGAGCUGUGAGUACGUGAAAAAUGGAGCAGAAUCCUCUAGAAGCCUGUGUGGGUUCUUUAAGAGCAAGCCACGACAAGAUGAAAAAACAAGAGCCUAAAGAAGGGAGGCAACUUUUCCAAAGCCACACAUUAAACCUGUGGCAGUUAAGAGCCAGAACUGUGGUAUCCUGGCCCUCAGCCCCACACCUCUACUGCAAUACCUGGGAUGUGGGCCCAUGGAUUGAUUUAUGGAUUUUGACUAACAUAUCUUCAAUUGAGCAAUCACUCGGAUGAUCGAUUGAACACUCCUUCACCAAACAAGGCUGGAGGCCUGGGAUGGACGCCGGUGGUUUGAGAUAUGCAGAAGAAAUGGGUCCUGCCCUCCGGAACACUCCAGAGAAUAUCAUGGCACUUUAUAACAUCAGUGUCAAUCAGCAUUGAUUGACAAGCCCCCUGGACUUUGGAUGACUUCUCUGAAGCCCCAGCUGUGCCUGGCUGGGCCAUCUCCCUUCUCCACUUGGCCACAGCAUAAACUGCAGUCAAGCCACAGGAGUGACCUCAAGGCCUCAGGCCACUUUUCCAGCCUCAGCUUUUCUUAGGGGCCCAGCCCACUUACAAUAGAAAUUUGCCAAAGACUGGGUUGGUAAGUAAUGGAUAAGUUUUCAUAUUUACUAUUUUCAUUUCUGAAUCUCUCUUUACAUGCAGUUAAGCCAGGAAAUCCUGAAAGAACACUCUUCAGAAUGUUUUUAAGUAAAACAACAAGUUUCUGUUAAUUUAGGGCCAACCCAUGAGUAAACAGAUAGAGCCUGAGGUAUUCUGCACCCUGUAAUUUGUGGACUUCUUAGGAUCUUUUAAAAUAAAGAUGAAUAGUGGGUGGUAAA
rnacentral:lncRNA from 1 species